UACGGAGGGUGCAAGCGUUGUCCGGAUUUAUUGGGUUUAAAGGGUGCGUAGGCGGCCUAUUAAGUCAGUGGUGAAAUCCUGCAGCUUAACUGUAGAACAGCCAUUGAUACUGAUGGGCUUGAGUUCAGACGAGGUAGGCGGAAUUUAUGGUGUAGCGGUGAAAUGCAUAGAUACCAUAAAGAACACCGAUUGCGAAGGCAGCUUACUAGACUGAAACUGACGCUGAGGCACGAAAGCGUGGGGAUCAAACAGG
rnacentral:rRNA from 1 species